rnacentral:rRNA from 1 species
GACGAACCGUGCAAACGUUAUUCGGAAUCACUGGGCUUAAAGCGUGCGUAGGCGGCUGAGAAAGUUGGGUGUGAAAUCCCUCGGCUCAACCGAGGAAUUGCGCUCAAAACUACUUGGCUUGAGGGAGUUAGAGGUGAGCGGAACUAAUGGUGGAGCGGUGAAAUGCGUUGAUAUCAUUAGGAACACCGGUGGCGAAAGCGGCUCACUGGGGACGUCUUCUGACGCUGAGGCACGAAAGCUAGGGGAGCGAACGGG